rnacentral:rRNA from 1 species
UACGUAGGGUGCGAGCGUUGCCCGGAUUUAUUGGGCGUAAAGGGCGCGUAGGCGGCUCGGCACGUCCGUUGUGAAAUCGCCCGGCUCAACUGGGCGGGGUCAGCGGAUACGGUCGAGCUUGAGCAAGCUAGGGGGCAAUGGAAUUCCCGGUGUAGUGGUGGAAUGCGUAGAUAUCGGGAGGAACACCAGUGGCGAAGGCGGUUGCCUGGGGCUUUGCUGACGCUGAGGCGCGAAAGCUAGGGGAGCAAACGGG